GUCUCUCGAGGCUGUUCCCAUGACCAUCUUUUAGAUCUGCAAGAGACCAUGAGCCUGAAGCAGAACCUUACACUUCAAACUUACUAUGUGAGCUUACUCUACACUUUGAAGUUCUUUAGAUGGGUAUGAGUAGAACAUACAUUAAUUUAGAAAAAGUUGAAGUCCAAUGCAGUGAGUGACAUUACUGAUUGAUCAUAACAUGGUAAAAGAUAAGGAGGAUACAUAUGAGUGUUGUGCAGACAUAAAAUGAAAAGAAGUAUUUUGCAGAUAUAGUUUUUGACGAUUAACAUUAAUAGAACUAGAAAGUAGACUUGUAAUUUGAUUAUAGAUUUUAUGAUGAUUAUGCUCAAAACCAAAUAUGACUAAUUUAUGCAUACAUAUAUUUUUGUUCGUUCCAGGGAAAGGUAAAUCAGAAAUCACAGAGGAAGAGAUUCUAGGCAUCAAGUUCAGCAAACAAGACUGAUUGCAACUAAAUCAGCACUUACUGAGAUACAAGUUUAUAGGAAGAGAAAGAAGUCAGCUUGCUAGUGGAAGUGGCAAGAGGAGAAUGACAACCAUAAACCCAACCAGGGGAAAACAGAGUAAAUGCAAAGGAAGGUGAAUACCAAGAGAGCCGCUUGAAGGCGUUCCCGGAGCAAACAGAGGCCCAGAGAACUCUUUGUACAUCCCCUGGCUCUGCAGCAAAACCGCCAUGUUUGAGCUCCCAUGAUGCCUCUUCCCCACCAUUUCUCCCACUUUGCUUUCACCGCAAGAACGAAUAAAGAGAUCUUUCUUCUUGUUUUGGGGGUUCUUUACUCCCUUCUCUCAGAGGCAGGUUAUGAUUCUAC
rnacentral:lncRNA from 1 species